UGGGGAAUAUUGGACAAUGGGGGCAACCCUGAUCCAGCAAUGCCGCGUGAGUGAUGAAGGCCUUAGGGUUGUAAAGCUCUUUUACCCGGGAAGAUAAUGACUGUACCGGGAGAAUAAGCCCCGGCUAACUCCGUGCCAGCAGCCGCGGUAAUACGGAGGGGGCUAGCGUUGUUCGGAAUUACUGGGCGUAAAGCGCACGUAGGCGGCUUUGUAAGUUAGAGGUGAAAGCCCGGGGCUCAACCCCGGAACAGCCUUUAAGACUGCAUCGCUUGAACGUCGGAGAGGUGAGUGGAAUUCCGAGUGUAGAGGUGAAAUUCGUAGAUAUUCGGAAGAACACCAGUGGCGAAGGCGGCUCACUGGACGACUGUUGACGCUGAGGUGCGAAAGCGUGGGGAGCAAACA
rnacentral:rRNA from 1 species